rnacentral:rRNA from 1 species
GAUGAACGCUGGCGGCGUGCCUAAUACAUGCAAGUCGAGCGAACGGACGAGAAGCUUGCUUCUCUGAUGUUAGCGGCGGACGGGUAAGUAACACGUGGAUAACCUACCUAUAAGACUGGGAUAACUUCGGGAAACCGGAGCUAAUACCGGAUAAUAUUUUGAACCGCAUGGUUCAAAAGUGAAAGACGGUCUUGCUGUCACUUAUAGAUGGAUCCGCGCUGCAUUAGCUAGUUGGUAAGGUAACGGCUUACCAAGGCAACGAUGCAUAGCCGACCUGAGAGGGUGAUCGGCCACACUGGAACUGAGACACGGUCCAGACUCCUACGGGAGGCAGCAGUAGGGAAUCUUCCGCAAUGGGCGAAAGCCUGACGGAGCAACGCCGCGUGAGUGAUGAAGGUCUUCGGAUCGUAAAACUCUGUUAUUAGGGAAGAACAUAUGUGUAAGUAACUGUGCACAUCUUGACGGUACCUAAUCAGAAAGUCACGGCUAACUACGUG